GGGGAAUUUUCCGCAAUGGGGGAAAGCCGCCCGGAGCAAGACCGCGUGAGGGAGGAAGAACCUUGGGUGGUAAACCUCUUUUUUCAUGGAAGAAGAAAAUGACGGUACCAGAGGAAUAAGCAUCGGCUAACUCCGUGCCAGCAGCCGCGGUAAGACGGAGGAUGCAAGCGUUAUCCGGAAUUAUUGGGCGUAAAGGGUCCGCAGGUGGUUUCUCAAGUCGGCAGUCAAAGACCGGAGCUUAACUUCGGAAAGGCUGUGGAAACUGAUAGACUAGAGAGCGGUAGGGGCAAGGGGAAUUCCCGGUGUAGCGGUGAAAUGCGUAGAAUAUGGGAAGAACACCGGUGGCGAAAGCGCCUUAGCUGACCUCAUCUGACACUCAGGUACGAAAGCUAGGGGAGCGAAWGGGAUUAGAUACCCCWGUAGUC
rnacentral:rRNA from 1 species